GAUGAAUGCUGGCGGCGUGCUUAACACAUGCAAGUCGAGCGGUAAGGCCCCUUCGGGGGUACGACGAGCGGCGGACGGCUGAGUAGCGCGUGGGAACAUGCCCCAAAGUGAGGAAUAAGCCCCAGAAAUGGAGUCUAAUGCCGCAUAUGAUCUUCGGAUUAAAGGAUUUAUCCGCUUUUGGGGAGUGGCCUGCGUGCGAU
rnacentral:rRNA from 1 species